UACGAAGGGAGCUAGCGUUGUUCGGAAUCACUGGGCGUAAAGCGCACGUAGGCGGAUGUGUCAGUCAGGGGUGAAAUCCCGGGGCUCAACUUCGGAAUUGCCUUUGAUACUGUCUGUCUUGAGUCCGGGAGAGGUGAGUGGAAUUCCUAGUGUAGAGGUGAAAUUCGUAGAUAUUAGGAAGAACACCAGUGGCGAAGGCGGCUCACUGGCCCGGUACUGACGCUCAUGUGCGAAAGCGUGGGGAGCAAACAGG
rnacentral:rRNA from 1 species